GGCCACAGACAGUAGAAGCACAUAAAAUAUCGCAAACAACACCACUCUGAAAACAAGGGAAUUCCAGACAGGAAACAAUCAGGGCCAGCUAACACCUCCCAACAAAAAAUUCACUCAGGGAGGAAACAGCCAGGCUUUAAAGCUGCAAGGCCAUUACAUCCUAAUCAUUUUUCCUAAUUGCAGCAUUCAUACUUGCCUCCAACAAACAAAAAAAACCAAUCAGAAAUAUUGUAUAUUCACAACCUUUAGGAAAUAAUAUCCCCUGAUGGCGCAGCGUGUUAAAGCGCUGAGCUGCUGAACUACUGGACCGAAAGGCCACAGGUUUGAAUUGAGGGAGCGGAGAGAGCCCCCACUGUUAGCCCCAGCUUCUGCCAACCCAGAAGUUCGAAAACAUGCAAAUGUGAGUGCAUCAAUAGGUACUGCUCCGGCAGGAAGGUAACGCCGCUCCAUGUAGUCAUCCCACAUGACCUUGGAGGAGUCUACGGACAACGCCGGCUCUUCGGUUUAGAAAUGGAGAUGAGCACCAACCCCCUGAGUCAGACAUGACUGGACUUAAUGUCAGGGGAAAACCUUUACCCUUGACCUUAACUACCACCAAUUCCUCAAUACUUUAUUUCCCAGACCACCAGACUUUGCCACAGCAAAGCUAGUUGUAUAUAAAAUGGUCCUUUCUUUUAAGGCAUGCCUUAGUUUAAGAGUCCUCUGUUAAAAAAAGGUCAUUUUCUGUUUAAUGAAGUGUGUUCUAUACAUGCACACACAUACAUACAUAAUGCCAAUUUGAUAUAAUAAAGGAUGUUGUUGAAACUCACAUUCAGUUUGUAAAAUGAAUUUGGGGGUUUCAUACUAUUGAAAGGAGGAGCUGAGGAGCCUUAUAACCAAGGUGAAAGAAGAAAGAAGAAGAGAAUGGUUCCUUUUAAAAUAAGAUACAGUAGAGUCUCACUUAUCCAACAUUCACUUAUCCAACGUUCUGGAUUAUCCAACAUAUUUUUGUUGUCAAUAUUUUCAAUACAUAGUGAUAUUUUGGUGCUAAAUUUGUAAAUACAGUAAUUACUACAUAGCAUUAUUGCGUAUUGAACUACUUUUUCUGUCAAAUUUGUUGUAUAACAUGAUGUUUUGGUGCUUAAUUUGUAAAAUCAUAACCUAAUUUGAUGUUUAAUAGGCUUUUCCUUAAUCUCUCCUUAUUAUCCAACAUAUUUGCUUAUCCAACGUUCUGCCAGCCCGUUUACGUUGGAUAAGCGAGACUCCACUGUAAUAAUAAUAAUAAUAAUAAUAAUAAUAAUAAUAAUAAUAAUAAUAAAUCUCAGCAAACAAAAAGAAAACUCUCAUUCUCUGAAAUCUACUACCACCUAGUUACCUCUCCUUUAGUGUAGAAAGUAGAAAUAGCUUUAAUGAAGCAUUGAACCCGGAGAUUGAAGUCUGCCUGCCCAUUCCAGACAGAGCCUGCAGUAGAGCAAAAAGAGGGGUUUUUAAAGGAAGCUCGGGGAGAUAGAUCCAGGUCGAUUGCUCUUUCUUCCCUGGAAAGUGGGAAGCCUCCUCAAAUGCCUUGGAAUCUGGUGCAGGGAGAGAGAGCAUGUGCAUGCAGCCUGUCUCCUCUAGAGUAGAAAGAAACAGCUUUAGCAAAGCAUUAAACCUGGUCUCUUCUACAGACAGAAGGGAAAGAAUCACAGAAAGAGUGUUAUCUUAACUCUGAUCAUUUUAAUCCAGGUCUUAAUGAAAGCUAUGGAAGGGGAGCCUCUUUUUCCUUGAAGGAAAAAAG
ensembl:lncRNA